rnacentral:pre_miRNA from 1 species
UUAACGCAAAUUUGUAUGGAGUUGCAACAGCGCCCCUAGCGGCAAACUUAGUCAAAUGUUCCAACUCCAUACAAAUUUGAGUUA